CUCUAUGAGAUGUGCGAAUCAAGGUUUACAAACAUGGAUACAAGGUUCUCUACUAUGGAUGAACAAAUUGAUGAAGUUUAGAGGCAGAUUUUGGAACUACAAUUUCAAAGGGAGGAUAACCCUUCUUUUUAGCUCUUUUGGACAAAACAUCUCUACUCUGGAUGUUGUUUUUAAUCCUACCUUUUGUCUUUUCGAUGAGACAAAUAGGGGGAAAAGUGUUUGGGAAGUUGUAAUUUGUUCUUAAUUAUGUGUUUACUAAUUUU
rnacentral:lncRNA from 1 species